UGGGGAAUAUUGGACAAUGGGCGCAAGCCUGAUCCAGCCAUGCCGCGUGAGUGACGAAGGCCUUAGGGUUGUAAAGCUCUUUUGGCGGGGAAGAUAAUGACGGUACCCGCAGAAUAAGCUCCGGCUAACUUCGUGCCAGCAGCCGCGGUAAUACGAAGGGAGCUAGCGUUGUUCGGAAUCACUGGGCGUAAAGCGCACGUAGGUGGGCAGUUAAGUCAGGGGUGAAAGCCCGAGGCUCAACCUCGGAAUUGCCUCUGAUACUGCGAAUCUCGAGUCCGAUAGAGGUGAGUGGAAUUCCUAGUGUAGAGGUGAAAUUCGUAGAUAUUAGGAAGAACACCAGUGGCGAAGGCGGCUCACUGGAUCGGUACUGACGCUGAGGUGCGAAAGCGUGGGGAGCAAACAGGAUUAGAUACCCAAGUAGUCCCUGAGCGGGCUGGCAAGGCGCAU
rnacentral:rRNA from 1 species